UGGGAUUUAGCUCAGCAGCAUAAGCACCUGCCUUGCAAGCAGGUGGUCGUGAGUUCAAUCAUCAGUACCAA
rnacentral:tRNA from 1 species